AAUGUAUAGGCGUCGAUAACUUUAGUGAAGAAAUGUGUAUUACACGAAAAGGCCGCCAUUUGAUGUGUUUUCUAACAUCGUCGAUAUUCAAUACACGUUAGUAUAACCUAUUGGUACAUAAAACUUCAUUAUAGAACAAGACAAGACCACAAUAGAUCUGAGAAGGUCGCAGUGGGUCAGGCCGAGAUCAACCUCUAGAAAUCUAAUCUAGAACAAAACAAAGACCUUACUUGCAAACUACCAUACAUAUCUUUUAAAAAGGAUGCUAAGUGUAAAUGAAAUCUCUACGUAAUCAUUCCCUAAAAUGUUUAGUGUAGUUUAGUUUUCAACAUUUUGCAGCAAGAAGUUUAGAUAAAUCUACAAUAUAUUAUCAUCAGACCAAACGAAGAAUAAUUAUUUAAAA